rnacentral:rRNA from 1 species
UACAGAGGUCUCAAGCGUUGUUCGGAUUCAUUGGGCGUAAAGAGCGUGUAGGCGGCCAGGUAGGUCGGUUGUGAAAACUGGAGGCUCAACCUUCAGAGGUCGACCGAAACCAUCUGGCUAGAGUCCGGGAGAGGAGAGCGGAAUUCCUGGUGUAGCGGUGAAAUGCGCAGAUAUCAGGAAGAACACCCGUGGCGAAAGCGGCUCUCUGGAACGGUACUGACGCUGAGACGCGAAAGCGUGGGGAGCGAACAGG